CGUGACAGCGCUCCGCCUUCAAACCGAGGGCCUUUUGCAAGGCGCAUGAACUGCUCAUAUAAAAGUUACAGUCAGCAUGAAGCAAUUGCAUGGGAACCGACUGGCUGUCUUGGGCCUACACAUUGCUGAAAAGACAGUGAAGACGUCUGAUCCGACAGGUAGAAAAGAAGCAGAUGGCUACAGCGAUCAAUGAAGAAAUGGCUUCAUCUAUGAUGGCUCGCCUUAGAACAUUGGAAUGGAGCUACACAAAGGCAUCAUAAUCCUCGCCUGUGCCCUGG